GGAGACGUGGGUGAGUGGCUGAAACCACCGGUUUGCUAAAUCGACGUACUCUUCACGGGGUACCGCGGGUUCGAAUCCCGCCGUCUCCG
rnacentral:tRNA from 1 species